UGGGGAAUCUUGGACAAUGGGCGCAAGCCUGAUCCAGCCAUGCCGCGUGGAUGAUGAAGGCCUUAGGGUUGUAAAAUCCUUUCGUUGGGGACGAUAAUGACGGUACCCAAAGAAGAAGCUCCGGCUAACUUCGUGCCAGCAGCCGCGGUAAUACGAAGGGGGCUAGCGUUGUUCGGAUUUACUGGGCGUAAAGCGCGUGUAGGCGGAUUUGUAAGUUGGGGGUGAAAUCCCGAGGCUCAACCUCGGAACUGCCUCCAAAACUACAAGUCUGGACCUAAGUAGAGGCAAGUGGAAUUGCGAGUGUAGAGGUGAAAUUCGUAGAUAUUCGCAGGAACACCAGUGGCGAAGGCGACUUGCUGGACUUAUGGUGACGCUGAGGCGCGAAAGCCAGGGGAGCAAACGGGAUUAGAUACCCUUGUAGUCCCUGAGCGGGCUGGCAAGGCGCAU
rnacentral:rRNA from 1 species